AGACAUCUGCGCGAUACGACAGGCAGCUAUAUCCCCGGGGCCGAUAACUAGAUUCUCCAGGGAGCUGUCACUGACCGGGAUCGUGGUCCCGGAUACACGGCGCCCACCUGCUUAUGCAGGCCACGGAGGAAUACACGCCAACGGUCGAUGUGGGGUCUU
rnacentral:other from 1 species